CUGUUGGAGGGAACAAAAAAAUUUGGGCUGCUAAAUUGGGGUAGUUAAAUGUUGGUGGUUAGGGGUCUGUUUUGUAUUUUUUAAAACUUUGGGUAUAGGGGUGAUGACAUGGGAGACUUCAUUUGAUGAUGUCAUAAAUAGUAGCCCUUUAGCCCAUUCUUUGAGACUUAUGACCUUUUGUCAAAAUAAGUGUUGAGAGUGGCCUUUUAGCAAACUCCCUUUCUGCCCUUACGUGGUAGCUUUAGAUUUUGUACUUUUAGAAUUGGUUUAUUUUCAUAAACGUUAUAUCAUAUAUAUGAAUAUAUAUAAAUGCAGUCAAAAGACCCGCUGACGUGGUGCAACACAAAUGCGAAACUCAUUUAUCUUUUUUUUUUUUUUUUUUUUUUUCUCUCUCCAGAUUUUCGCUCUUUUUCCAUUUUUCAACCACUUAAAAAAUGUUUUUCUCUUCCCUUACUAUUUUCCUUUUGCCUCCCGAAAUGGCGCUUUUGUUUAACCAUCUCAAUUAGGGUUGUUUAACCAUGCCAUAACCGGAGAAGAAAACGUUUUUUCCCGCAGUGAAUAAGAUUCUGAUCAAGACAUUUUCCAGAUUUCCAAGAUUUAGACUCUAACGAUCGCAACAAAUGGGCGUUGAAGACAGUGAAGUGCAGAUGCCGUGCAGGAUUUGCCCCUCCUUUUUCUUACUUUUAGGGAUAGUGCUAUUUCCCCCUUAAUUGAUCAGUUCUGCGAUGCAUUAUACGAGUGCGAAAUCAGUAACGCCAAGAACAUGAAAUCCAUUAGCAGCAACACUUAUUGCUCCUGCUUUAUCUAAAUUUGAGGGACCAUUUUACGGCCUCUGCGAAGAAGCUGACGGUUUUUUUUUUUCCCCUUCUUUGAUUUUUGGAAAUUAGGAAGACGGCUUGAAAACUAAUAAUUUUUUUUGCUGGUGUUAUAACAUUUGCCCUAUUGUCAGUUUACAAUUAAAUUGAUUCUUUGCGUAUUGUCUUCAACUGUUGCUUUGCUCCAAGAUCAAGUUCUUCUUCUGGGACAUCGCCAGGUAACAUAUAUUAACUGUUCAUUGCCUUCUUACUACUAAAUUAAUAGUAUUAGUCAAAUUUGUUUAGCGUUUUUUAUCUAUUCUUUAGACUUUGUUUUCUUUUGCAAUUAUCCCCACAGAUUAUUUAUUCUUUCUUUUACUUCAAGACUUUGUUUCGUGCUCUUUACUGGUCUAUUGUAUUAACUCUUUGUUGAUGUAUGGAGUUUACUACAAAUGAAUAUGGAGAAAUGGAGUCAAGGAAAAUGAAAGUAAGUUCAGAACAAUGUUUGAAAAAUCAGAUUAUGGAAAGCGAAAACCCUAUUGCAGGAACUGUUAGGUUCUUCGGAAUUUCUCUGAAAGCUUUCACUCUAAAGAUCCAUAGUGGAAGACAGCAUAGAAUUCUACUGGAAACAGUUAAUUCUCAUGGAUCUGAACAUCUCUUGUAUAUUAUAUAAAGUUGGUCGUUGAGUAGGUGAAGGGAAUCUCUUUGGUCAGUAUUUACAUUUAUCCUUUUCGUGGUCUUUUUGCUUCUUUUUUUUUUCCUUUGUUUUUUCCAUAUCACUAUAUUUAAAAGGCAUCUCUAUUAAUUGUUCUUGCUUAAGUUUUGGAAGAUUCUCAUAUCACCUGUAUAUCUGCCAGUAUGUUAUGUUCUUGUAUCUUACGAAAGCACAUAUUUUACUGAUUGUGGCUCUAAAAUAUUUGGUAAACUGAUCCAUUUGUUAAUUACUCUAAUCUGAUUUUUGAGAAAGGAUGAAGUAAAAAAUGCCAACAAAUGCGAAGAGCAGAUGAGUUGCUAGGAGAAAGAAGCAAGAAGAGGCCCAACUCCUUUCAAGUCAGGCAAAACAAACCGGUGGUGUCAUAUUCUCAAAAUUCGUCUUCUUUAUCUUUUUUUUUUUUUUCAUUUUAGUUUGUUGAUUCUUUGGCUAUUUAUUGUAUUCUUUUUGGAAGAUGGGAUUGACAAUAAUAGAAAAAAGGCUCAAAAUGGAUACUUAACUGAAGGUUCUAUUGUCAAAUUGACUAUAUUCCUGGUACUUUUUGUUUAAAAUGUAUGUUUCUAAAAAGACUUUUAACUAAAAGAUUUUCUCCUCGCUUGCGACAUUGUAGUGAUUUAGCAUAAUAAAUUUGUGGUCUUAAUGUUUCAGUUGAACAUAGCUGGGAGGAUAGAUAUACCAGUGGCUGAAGGCUCUUUUGUUACAGUCAGUAUACCUGUGUAUAUAAUCUUGAACUCUUAGUUCAAUUCUGUCCCGUUGCUCAUUUAACUUGCUUAGUUGUUACAAACUCUAAACUUUUGGUUAUUGAUGUGAACUUUGUCAUAUUUUUUAUUUAUUCUUUACAUUGCAUAACACACUACCUUUACAAGGUAGAUGUAAGGUUUGCGUACACUCUAUCCUCUCCAGACCCCACUUGGUGGGAUUAUACCGGAUAUGUUGUUGUUGUACACACUGCAUUACACACUUUUUUUUUUUUAUUCAUCUAAUGUUUAGGAAUUUUGAUUUUCGAUUAUUGUCUUGGGUAAUUAAGUUUCAUUCUUCAUAUAUUAUGUUAUUAAUUAAUUCAUAAUUCAAUCAAUAUGAAUCAUGAAGCUUAAUUUUUUUUAAGGAUUUAAUCUUUCUACGAGCAAGGGAAUUUUCAAGGAGGGAAAGAAAUAACACAGGAGCAGUAGAAUUUACCUUCAUAAAUUUAACGUAUCUUUCGAGUUUUGGUAAAAGCAUUUGUCAGAGAAAGUUGAAUAUUUGAACUUUCAUUGGCUGAAUUCUUGAAUAAUAUCAGAGAAGAAGUUUAUCGUCCUUGAGAAAUAUAUGAAGGUACAAAUUUCGUGCUUUAUUUCAUGUAUUUCUUUAUUAAAUCUUUUUUUCUUUUCCCCAUCGGGUUAGUCCAAGCAUGAGUAUUAUGGUGCACUUCUUUCUCUUCGUCUUCUUUUUUACUUUCCAUUUGGCUUUAACAGUAUUUAUCAUGAGAGUGGAAUUGGGGCUUGAUAGAGUAAUUUGGGUACUGGAAGAUCAAACAGGUACUUAUCUGUUCUACAUAUUUUGAUGUUGCUUGAUUUCUGUCAUUAUAUUUUUGUCCUCUGUAUCUUAAUGGUUGGCUAAAAUAAUGUGUACUACUCCUACUAUUUUUCUUGGAAGCAAGUAGAAACUGUUUUUUAUUUAUAUUUUCUCUGGCGUGUGAAACAAAAAAUAGAAAUAGAACUUUAAUAUAUUAUCGUCUUGGUAUUCUAUAUGACCGAUGAAAGAAAUAAAUGACACCAGUUAAACCUAUUUAUCUCUUUCAACUUUGCUCUAUACAUGAUUUUGUUCUCAAUUUUGUGUUUGUUUCCACAUUUUAUUUUCAUUGCUCAUGCAGUAUGAGUUUUUUUAAUUCAAUGUACCAAUCUAAUUUCUCUUUUUUCAUUUUAAUUAGAUGGGAACUAUUAAACUAAUGUUGGAGCAAUUCAAACAUUUUGAAUAUGUAUCUACAGUAAAAUAAAGUCACUUGAACUUUGUUCUUUAUUAACUGUUGUUUGAUCUUUAUUUCGGUUGGAUUUUUGAGUUAUUAAAAUUUAUGGUUUUUUUUUUCUGAGAGUUUAGACUAAAAUUAGUAAAAUAUAAUUAUCAAAAGUAUAUUUUCUUGCAUUGUUGAUCCAAGUGUAAUUUUAAUGAUUCAAUCUUGUGGUUUUACAUUGUGACAACUUAAAACUUAAUUGGAUGGUUUAUUUAUCUCUCUUCAUUUCUUCAUUCUUCACGUGCAUUUUGUAUUAUCAUGAGCUUUUAAUAGAGUAGCAUUUGAAUUUUAAAUAAUAGAUAUUAACCAAAAAUUGCACAAACACCUUGAAGAAAAUCCUUUUGGAAGCAUAAAUUUGAGUUUCUAUUCCAGUUAUAAACAAACAAACAAAAAAAAUCUUAAGUUUUAACCACUGAAAGUAAUCAAUUUGUGAGGACUGAUUGAUCCGGGGAAGAAGUCAUUUUUCAGGCUGCGGUGUGAGACUGUUAAAAUGAUGAAAGUUGUGGUUGAUUCUGAAUCGAGAAACCAAACACGUGACACAAUUGAAGCAGUGAAGGAGAGGAAAAUAAUGGUUGAAGUAUAAGAUGAAAAAUAGGAGGAACCCGCAACUCCUACUGAAGUAAAGGGUGAGAAUUGUCGAGGCAUAUGUAAAAAAAAAUCUUAUAAUUUUAGAUAAAGCUACAUGUAUAAUGCCUCAAGUUUAAGCUUUUAUUUGCGAGAGAAUUGAUGAAAAUUUGAUGUGUAAAAGUACUUUCACUUCACCUGUUUGUAUUUAUUGUAAUAGUUCAUGAUAAAAUUAUGAGGAAAUAUUUGUUGGGUGGAGAA